rnacentral:rRNA from 1 species
CAGCAGCCGCGGGAAUACGUAGGGUGCGAGCGUUAAUCGGAAUUACUGGGCGUAAAGCGUGCGCAGGCGGUUAUAUAAGACAGAUGUGAAAUCCCCGGGCUCAACCUGGGGCCUGCAUUUGUGACUGUAUAGCUAGAGUACGGUAGAGGGGGAUGGAAUUCCGCGUGUAGCAGUGAAAUGCGUAGAUAUGCGGAGGAACACCGAUGGCGAAGGCAAUCCCCUGGACCUGUACUGACGCUCAUGCACGAAAGCGUGGGGAGCAAACAGGAUUAGAGACCCCCGUAGUCCCUGUCUCUUAUAC